GGGUUGUGAGGUUAAGCGACUAAGCGUACACGGUGGAUGCCCUGGCAGUCAGAGGCGAUGAAGGGCGUGCUAAUCUGCGAUAAGCGCCGGUAAGGUGAUAUGAACCGUUAUAACCGGCGAUACCCGAAUGGGGAAACCCAGUGUGACUCGUCACACUAUCAUUAACUGAAUCCAUAGGUUAAUGAGGCGAACCGGGGGAACUGAAACAUCUAAGUACCCCGAGGAAAAGAAAUCAACCGAGAUUCCCCCAGUAGCGGCGAGCGAACGGGGAGGAGCCCAGAGCCUGAAUCAGCAUGUGUGUUAGUGGAAGCGUCUGGAAAGGCGCGCGAUACAGGGUGACAGCCCCGUACACAAAAGCGCAUGUGCUGUGAGCUCGAUGAGUAGGGCGGGACACGUGGUAUCCUGUCUGAAUAUGGGGGGACCAUCCUCCAAGGCUAAAUACUCCUGACUGACCGAUAGUGAACCAGUACCGUGAGGGAAAGGCGAAAAGAACCCCGGCGAGGGGAGUGAAAAAGAACCUGAAACCGUGUACGUACAAGCAGUGGGAGCACAGGUUUACCUGUGUGACUGCGUACCUUUUGUAUAAUGGGUCAGCGACUUAUAUUCUGUAGCAAGGUUAACCGAAUAGGGGAGCCGGAGGGAAACCGAGUCUUAACCGGGCGUUAAGUUGCAGGGUAUAGACCCGAAACCCGGUGAUCUAGCCAUGGGCAGGUUGAAGGUUGGGUAACACUAACUGGAGGACCGAACCGACUAAUGUUGAAAAAUUAGCGGAUGACCUGUGGCUGGGGGUGAAAGGCCAAUCAAACCGGGAGAUAGCUGGUUCUCCCCGAAAGCUAUUUAGGUAGCGCCUCGUGAAUUCAUCUCCGGGGGUAGAGCACUGUUUCGGCUAGGGGGCCAUCCCGGCUUACCAACCCGAUGCAAACUGCGAAUACCGGAGAAUGUUAUCACGGGAGACACACGGCGGGUGCUAACGUCCGUCGUGAAGAGGGAAACAACCCAGACCGCCAGCUAAGGUCCCAAAGUCAUGGUUAAGUGGGAAACGAUGUGGGAAGGCCCAGACAGCCAGGAUGUUGGCUUAGAAGCAGCCAUCAUUUAAAGAAAGCGUAAUAGCUCACUGGUCGAGUCGGCCUGCGCGGAAGAUGUAACGGGGCUAAACCAUGCACCGAAGCUGCGGCAGCGACGCUGAUGCGUUGUUGGGUAGGGGAGCGUUCUGUAAGCCUGCGAAGGUGGCCUGUGAGGGUUGCUGGAGGUAUCAGAAGUGCGAAUGCUGACAUAAGUAACGAUAAAGCGGGUGAAAAGCCCGCUCGCCGGAAGACCAAGGGUUCCUGUCCAACGUUAAUCGGGGCAGGGUGAGUCGACCCCUAAGGCGAGGCCGAAAGGCGUAGUCGAUGGGAAACGGGUUAAUAUUCCCGUACUUGGUGUUACUGCGAAGGGGGGACGGAGAAGGCUAUGUUGGCCGGGCGACGGUUGUCCCGGUUUAAGCGUGUAGGCUGGUUUUCCAGGCAAAUCCGGAAAAUCAAGGCUGAGGCGUGAUGACGAGGCACUACGGUGCUGAAGCAACAAAUGCCCUGCUUCCAGGAAAAGCCUCUAAGCAUCAGGUAACAUCAAAUCGUACCCCAAACCGACACAGGUGGUCAGGUAGAGAAUACCAAGGCGCUUGAG
rnacentral:rRNA from 2 species